rnacentral:rRNA from 1 species
UACGGGGGGGGGUAAGCGUUGUUCGGAAUUACUGGGCGUAAAGGGCUCGUAGGCGGCCAACUAAGUCAGACGUGAAAUCCCUCAGCUUAACUGGGGAACUGCGUCUGAUACUGGAUGGCUUGGAUUCGGGAGAGGAAUGCGGAAUUCCAGGUGUAGCGGUGAAAUGCGUAGAUAUCUGGAGGAACACCGGUGGCGAAGCGGCGAUUCUGGACCGAUAUUGACGCUGAGGAGCGAAAGCCAGGGGAGCAAACGGG